AUACGGGGGGUGCGAGCGUUGUCCGGAAUCACUGGGCGUAAAGGGCGCGUAGGUGGCGUGAUAAGGGUGUGGUGAAAGCCCGGGGCUCAACCCCGGGUCUGCCAUGCCGACUGUCAGGCUAGAGUACUGUAGGGGCAGGCGGAAUUCCGGGUGUAGCGGUGGAAUGCGUAGAGAUCCGGAGGAAGACCGGUGGCGAAGGCGGCCUGCUGGGCAGUUACUGACACUGAGGCGCGACAGCGUGGGGAGCAAACAG
rnacentral:rRNA from 1 species